UACGGAGGGGGCGAGCGUUAUUCGGAAUUAUUGGGCGUAAAGGGCGCGUAGGCGGCUGUACAAGUCAAAGGUGAAAUCCCUCGGCUCAACUGAGGAACUGCCUUUGAAACUGUACGCUUGAGGCCGGGAGGGGGUAGCGGAAUUCCCAAUGUAGCGGUGAAAUGCGUAGAUAUUGGGAGGAACACCAGUGGCGAAGGCGGGUCUCUGGGCCGUAACUGACGCUGAGGAGCGAAAGCAUGGGGAGCGAACAGG
rnacentral:rRNA from 1 species